CCUACGGGUGGCAGCAGUGAGGAAUAUUGGUCAAUGGGCGCAAGCCUGAACCAGCCAAGUCGCGUGAGGGAAGACGGCCCUACGGGUUGUAAACCUCUUUUGCCGGGGAGCAAGCCUGAGCACGUGUGCCCAGGCGGAGAUUCCCCGGAGAAAAAGCAUCGGCAAACUCCGUGCCAGCAGCCGCGGUAAUACGGAGGAUGCGAGCGUUACACGGUUUUAUUGGGUUUACAGGGUGCGCAGGCGGGCUGUUAAGCCAGCGGUAAAAAUUCAGGGCUCAACCCUGUCGAGCCGUCGAAACUGGCAGCCUUGAGUGGGCGAGAAGUAUGCGGAAUGCGUGGUGUAGCGGUGAAAUGCAUAGAUAUCACGCAGAACGCCGAUUGCGAAGGCAGCAUACCGGCGCCCGACUGACGCUGAGGCACGAAAGCGUGGGGAUCGAACAGGAUUAGAUACCCUUGUAGUC
rnacentral:rRNA from 1 species